CCGAGCAAAGCAUUCUAUCACCACUUACCAAUGCACAAAAGCACCGAAAAGCUGAAAUACUGAGAUUGAAUAAUUAAAUCAACAGAAAAACGCAGAGAAAAGGGAAAAACAACUCAAAAUUUUUGAGACGGAGAGAGAAAACUAAAAUUUUUGAAACAAAAUAAAAAUAGAUAACCCCAAUAUCCCAACUCCCCACUUUCAUCUCAACCACAACUAUCCACUCACCCAGACUCCCAAUCCCAUCCAAACUCUCUCAGCCAACCGAGGUAAAAAUUACUACCCACGCUCACGCAAGGAUUCAAACACAAGACCUCCAACACAC
rnacentral:lncRNA from 1 species